GAUGAAGUAUGAUGAAGUAUUUCGGUACGUAAAGUUCUUUUAUUAGGGAAGACUCACUGAUGGAAAAAUCAUUCUGACGGUACCUAAUGAAUGAGCCCCGGCUAACUAUGUGCCAGCAGCCGCGGUAAUACAUAGGGGGCAAGCGUUAUCCGGAAUUAUUGGGCGUAAAGGGUGCGUAGGCGGUUAAAUAAGUUUAUGGUCUAAGUGCAAUGCUCAACAUUGUGAUGCUAUAAAAACUGUUUUAGCUAGAGUAAGAUAGAGGCAAGUGUAAUU
rnacentral:rRNA from 1 species